UUUAAUAACAAUUCCUUGAGUUGUCAGAAAAUGAACAGGAUGCAGUUUCGUUGGGUUUUUUCAGCAGCAACAUGCCCCACAUUUCCAUUUCCCUAAGUUGUGACACGGGAAAGUCAAAGCGUUUGAAGACUUCAGUUUAUGCAGGAGGGUUAAAGAGCAUGUUACUACACAUAUGACCCACAUACAUUUCAAAGAGUGGAGCUGCACCGCAGAUGAUCGUCCAUUGAUCUGUCCAGUGUGGGACACAACAUAAACUCUGACAAAAUUUACGACAUUUUGCUCUUUUUAGGCUGUGCAAACAAACCAAACUGAACAAACACCACACAGCACGCACAUCACAGGUUUGUUCGAACUUUGGAGAUGGUUUCAAAGAUAAUCUCACUCUUGUAGAGCAGUGUCGCCCGCAUCACGGCAUUUUUGUGCUACAUUUGCACAAAUUUUCAUAAAACAGAGUGAGAAAUCACUAGUCAAAUUCUCUUUUCACUACAGCCUCUAUGUGCAGUCACUUGAACUAUGCUUAUCUGUGUUGUUUUUCCUGUGUGCUUACCUGUCUUGGUGAGCACGGAGGCCUUGACAUACACAGAGUUGCCCACCAAAGAUCUAAAGUCUGUGGGAGACAGCUGUUGGUGAGUACAGGAAUGAAGUUUGAUGCUGAACACGCAACUUUUCAUCUAGACUGCUGCAUGUGGACACUAUGGUUGAGUCCCGUGGCUCUCACCAUCUCACCAUAUAAAAAUCAACAGGAACCAAGCUCGAACCCCAGUUUAGGCAACCUCUCGAGCACCAAGGAGACGCUCUUCACUGCACUGCCUGCAUUAUCCUUUUUACAGACAGGGGAACACCACAGUGACAUUCGCUUGACACCAAACACGGAGAGAGGCUUA